GACGGAAGGUGCAAGCGUUGCUCGGAAUCACUGGGCGUAAAGGGUGCGUAGGCGGCUUGGUGGGUCUGGUGUAAAAGCCCCGGGCUCAGCCCGGGAAGGGCACUAGAAACUGCCGAGCUGGAGUGCCGGAGGGGAGAGUGGAAUUCCUGGUGUAGCGGUGAAAUGCGCAGAUAUCAGGAAGAACACCUAUGGCGAAGGCAGCUCUCUGGGACGGUACUGACGCUGAGACGCGAAAGCGUGGGGAGCGAACAGG
rnacentral:rRNA from 1 species